UUAAACAAUGCAAUAAGAAAUGCAUAACAAAGCGAUUUUUUUGAUACAAUACGAACAAGUUCCUAGUAUGAAAGUGUUUUAGGUCUUUAUCGAAAAUCGCAGAUUUGUCGCAAUGCCAAUGAUUUUGGAUGACAUUUUUCGAUUUCACCAACAAAUUAGAGUAUAGAAAAUGAGUAAAGGUACAGUAAAGUGGUUUAACGCCGACAAAGGUUUCGGUUUUAUUACACCAGAAGACGGCAGCAAAGAUUUAUUUGUCCACCAUUCUGAAAUCCAAUCUGGCGGCGAUUAUGCCACAUUGAGUGACGGCCAAGCAGUUGAGUUCGAAGUUGGCCAAGGCCAAAAAGGACCAUGUGCUAAUAAGGUUACUGCUGUCUAAA
rnacentral:sRNA from 1 species